rnacentral:rRNA from 1 species
GACGAACGCUGGCGGCGUGCUUAACACAUGCAAGUCGAACGAAGUGGCGAACGGGUGAGUAACGCGUAAUCAACCUGCCCUUCAGAGGGGGACAACAGUUGGAAACGACUGCUAAUACCGCAUACUGAAGGAGGUGAUUGCGUCUGAUUAGCUAGUUGGCGGGGUAACGGCCCACCAAGGCGAUGAUCAGUAGCCGGGCUGGGAGGAUGGACGGCCACAUUGGGACCGAAACACGGCCCAGACUCCUACGGGAGGCAGCAGGGGGGAAUCUUCCGCAAUGGACGGAAGUCUGACGGAGCAACGCCGGGGGAGUGAUGACGGCCUUCGGGUUGGAAAGCUCUGUUAAUCGGGACGCGGUACCGGAAGAAAAAGCAACGGCUAACUACGUGCCAGCAGCCGCGGUAAUAC